UAUUCUAAGGCGCUCGGGUGAGCCGUGGAGAAGGAACUAGGCAAAUUGUGGCUGUAACUUCGGGAUAAAGCCAGCCUACUUCGGUAGGCCUCAGUAAAAUGGUUCAACCAACUGUUUAACAAAAACACAGGGCCCUGCAAAAUCGAAAGAUGACGUAUAGAGCCUGAUACCUGCCCGGUGCUGGAAGGUUAAGGAAGGAUGUUCGGCGCAAGCCAAAGCUUCUGACUGAAGCCCCAGUAAACGGCGGCCGUAACAAUAACGGUCCUAAGGUAGCGAAAUUCCUUGUCGGGUAAGUUCCGACCUGCACGAAUGGUCUAAUGAGUUGAACGCUGUCUCCUCCACGAGCCCGGUGAAAUUGUAGUAUCGGUGAAGAUGCCGGUUACCCGUCACGGGACGGAAAGACCCCGUGAACCUUCACUACAACUUUGCAUUGAUUUUGAAUUACGGAUGUGUAGAAUAGUUGGGACUCUACGAAGCAGUGGCGCUAGCCAUUGUGGAGAGGUCGUUGAAAUACCAACCUUCUUUGAUUUAGAGUCUAACCCCUAACGGGGAACAGUGCAUGGUGGGUAGUUUGACUGGGGUGGUCGCCUCCUAAAGCGUAACGGAGGCUUGCAAAGGUACCCUCAGUACGGUUGGUAAUCGUACGCAGAGCGCAUUAGUAUAAGGGUGCUUGACUGUGAGGCAUACAUGCCGAGCAGGAGCGAAAGCUGGCUAAAGUGAUCCGGCGGUUCUGUAUGGAAGGGCCGUCGCUCAAAGGAUAAAAGGUACUCCGGGGAUAACAGGCUGAUCUCCCCCAAGAGCUCAUAUCGACGGGGAGGUUUGGCACCUCGAUGUCGGUUCGUCACAUCCUGGGGCUGGAGAAGGUCCCAAGGGUUCGGCUGUUCGCCGAUUAAAGUGGCACGUGAACUGGGUUCAUAACGUCGCAAGACAGUUCGGUCCCUAUCUGUGAUGGGCGCAAGAGAAUUGAGUGGACAUGACCUUAGUACGAGAGGACCGGGUCGUACAUACCGCUGGUGUAUCAGUUGUGCCGCCAGGUGCAGUGCUGAGUAGCUACGUAUGGCAAGGAUAAACGCUGAAAGCAUCUAAGCGUGAAACCUUCCACAAGAUGAGUUUUCUUUUAAGGGUCGUCAGAGACUAUGACGUUGAUAGGCUACAGAUCUAAAACUGGUGACAGUAAAGUCGAGUAGUACUAAUUGCCCGUAUGCUUUAAU
rnacentral:rRNA from 1 species